rnacentral:rRNA from 1 species
UGCGUGACCAACCUGCCCCAUGCUCCAGAAUAGCUCUUGGAAACGGGUGGUAAUGCUGGAUGCUCCAACUUGACGCAUGUCUUGUUGGGAAAGUGUUUAGUGGCAUGGGAUGGGGUCGCGUCCUAUCAGCUUGUAGGCGGGGGUAAUGGCCCACCUAGGCUUCGACGGGUAGCCGGCCUGAGAGGGCGGACGGCCACAUUGGGACUGAGAUACGGCCCAGACUCCUACGGGAGGCAGCAGCC